UAAUACAGAGGGUGCGAGCGUUGUUCGGAAUUAUUGGGCGUAAAGCGCGUGUAGGCGGUAGCGUAAGUCGGGUGUGAAAUCCCUCAGCUUAACUGAGGAAGUGCGCCCGAAACUACGAAGCUAGAGUGUUGGAGAGGGUGGCGGAAUUCCCGGUGUAGAGGUGAAAUUCGUAGAUAUCGGGAGGAACACCAGAGGCGAAGGCGGCCACCUGGCCAAACACUGACGCUGAGACGCGAAAGCGUGGGUAGCAAACAGGAUUAGAUACCCUGGUAGUCCACGCCGUAAACGAUGAGAACUAGCUGUGUUGGGAGUUGACCCCCGACGUGGCGAAGCUAACGCAUUAAGUUCUCCGCCUGGGGAGUACGGUCGCAAGACUA
rnacentral:rRNA from 1 species